GAACUAACAGGAAGUUUUAGUUUAGGUAUAAAAGUUUGGACAUUUAAUAGUAGAAUCACUCCUGGUUUGACACAAACACGAAGUCAGAAUGAAACUUGCCAUCACAACUGUUGCUAUCUUGGUCUGCCUUUGUGGCAUGAAGGGAAUCCUUGCUGACGAUUAUUACGGUGGUUCCGGAUAUUCCGGUAGCUACGGUGGAGUCGGUGGAUACACCGGAAGUUACGGUGGUAUCGGAGGAUAUGGUGGAAGCAUGGGUGGAUAUGGCGGAGGCAUGGGUGGAUAUGGCGGACAUGGCGGUUAUUCUGGAUACGGACAAAAGGGAUACUCUGGUUACGGCUCCAAGGGGUACUCCGGUUAUGGUGGAUAUUCUGGUUACGGCCAAAAAGGAUACUCCGGUUAUGGCGGACAUUCUGGUUACGGCAAAAAAGGAUACUCUGGCUAUGGUAAAAAGGGAGGAUAUGUUGACGAAAUAGUUCAGUACGUUCCUCAACCAAUCCCAGUCGCAUCUCCAUUUGCUGGUGGAGCCGGUAUGGCCGGAGUUGGUGGUGUUGGCGGUAUGGAUGGCGGUAUCCUCGGUGGAAACGAAGGACUUGGACUUUUUGGACUUCUGUUCCUUGCCUUCCUUUUGUUCAGAAACAACAACAGCGAUUAAACUUAUAGAUUGAAUUUAGCAAAUAUUUGGUAUAUGUGGCUGACCCUCCAGGAGUCUGUUUACAAAUAAAUGAUUAUAUAUAUAUGCAAAAACAAUUUUAUUUUCUAAUUUGAUAUAACCAAGAGCAACACUUACACUGAGUUUUAAAAUACCAUUGAAAGUGCAUUUUUUUGGUAAAUAAUCUAUAAUACAAUAAUAUAGCAUUAUUGGUCCCUCAUUCUAGAGAUUUUAUUAAACAAUUGUAUGGUC